rnacentral:rRNA from 1 species
UACGGAGGGGGCUAGCGUUGUUCGGAAUUACUGGGCGUAAAGCGCACGUAGGCGGCUUUGUAAGUUAGAGGUGAAAGCCCGGGGCUCAACUCCGGAAUUGCCUUUAAGACUGCAUCGCUAGAAUUGUGGAGAGGUAAGUGGAAUUCCGAGUGUAGAGGUGAAAUUCGUAGAUAUUCGGAAGAACACCAGUGGCGAAGGCGGCUCACUGGCCCGGAACUGACGCUGAGACGCGAAAGCGUGGGGAGCAAACAGG